rnacentral:rRNA from 1 species
UUAGCUAGUUGGUAGGGUAACGGCCUACCAAGGCGAUGAUCAGUAGGGGGUCUGAGAGGAUGAUCCCCCACACUGGCACUGAGAUACGGGCCAGACUCCUACGGGAGGCAGCAGUAGGGAAUAUUGGGCAAUGGUCGCAAGACUGACCCAGCCAUUCCGCGUGAAGGAAGAAGGGUCUCUGACUUGUAAACUUCUUUAGCAGGGGAAGAAAAAGGGGGUGCGCCCCCAACUGACGGUACCCUGAGAAUAAGCACCGGCUAACUACGUGCCAGCAGCCGCGGUAAUACGUAGGGUGCAAGCGUUGUCCGGAUUUAUUGGGUUUAAAGGGUGCGCAGGCGGCCUGUUAAGUCAGCGUUUAAAGGCAGCCGCUCAACGGAUGAAGUGGCGCUGAUACUGACGGGCUUGAAUGUGGUUGAGGUUGGCGGAAUUUAGGGUGUAGCGGUGAAAUGCAUAGAUACCCUAAGGAACACCGAUAGCGAAGGCAGCUAACCAAGCCAUGAUUGACGCUCAGGCACGAAAGCGUGGGGAGCAAACAGGAUUAGAUACCCUGGUAGUCCACGCUGUAAACGAUGAUUACUCGAUGUUGGCGAUAGAUAGUCAGCGUCUUAGCGAAAGCGUUAAGUAAUCCACCUGGGGAGUACGCCGGCAACGG